rnacentral:rRNA from 1 species
GGAAUAUUGGUCAAUGGACGAAAGUCUGAACCAGCCAUGCCGCGUGAAGGAUGACGGCCCUCUGGGUUGUAAACUUCUUUUAUCUGGGACGAAAAAAGGGGAUUCUUCCUCACUUGCCGGUACCAGAGGAUUAAGUAUCAGCUAACCACGUGCCCGCAGCCGCGGUAAUACGGAGGGUGCAAGCGUUAUCCGGAUUUACUGGGUUUAAAGGGUGCGUAGGUGGGUAGGAAAGUCAGUGGUGAAAUCUUCGAGCUUAACUCGGAAACUGCCGUUGAUACUAUCUAUCUUGAAUACUUUGGAGGUAAGCGGAAUAUGUCAUGUAGCGGUGAAAUGCUUAGAUAUGACAUAGAACACCAAUUGCGAAGGCAGCUUACUACACAGUUAUUGACACUGAGGCACGAAAGCGUGGGGAUCAAA